ACGGAGGGUGCGAGCGUUGUCCGGAUUUACUGGGCGUAAAGAGCGCGCAGGCGGUCGUUCAAGUCGAGUGUGAAAGCCCCCGGCUCAACUGGGGAGGGUCACUCGAUACUGAUCGACUCGAAGGCAGGAGAGGGAAGCGGAAUUCCCGGUGUAGUGGUGAAAUGCGUAGAUAUCGGGAGGAACACCAGUGGCGAAGGCGGCUUUCUGGCCUGCUCUUGACGCUGAGGCGCGAAAGCUAGGGGAGCGAACGGGA
rnacentral:rRNA from 1 species